rnacentral:rRNA from 1 species
UGGGGAAUUUUGGACAAUGGGCGCAAGCCUGAUCCAGCCAUGCCGCGUGCGGGAAGAAGGCCUUCGGGUUGUAAACCGCUUUUGUCAGGGAAGAAACGCUCUGGGCUAAUACCCUGUGGUAAUGACGGUACCUGAAGAAUAAGCACCGGCUAACUACGUGCCAGCAGCCGCGGUAAUACGUAGGGUGCAAGCGUUAAUCGGAAUUACUGGGCGUAAAGCGUGCGCAGGCGGUUAUGCAAGACAGAUGUGAAAUCCCCGGGCUCAACCUGGGAACUGCAUUUGUGACUGUAUAGCUAGAGUACGGUAGAGGGGGAUGGAAUUCCGCGUGUAGCAGUGAAAUGCGUAGAUAUGCGGAGGAACACCGAUGGCGAAGGCAAUCCCCUGGACCUGUACUGACGCUCAUGCACGAAAGCGUGGGGAGCAAACAGGAUUAGAUACCCCCGUAGUCCCUGAGCGGGCUGGCAAGGCGCAU